rnacentral:tRNA from 1 species
CUAAUAUGGCAGAUAAGUGCAGUGGGUUUAAGCUCCAUUUAUAAAGUUAUUAUAUUGCUUUUUUUAGAAU